rnacentral:rRNA from 1 species
GAUGAAUGCAGGCGGCGUGCCCAAUACAAGCAAGGCGAGCGAACAGACGAGGUGCUUGCCCCUCUGACCUUAGCGGCGGACGUCUGAGUAACACGUGGACAACCGACCUAUAAGACUGGGAUAACUUCGGGAAACCGGAUCUAAUCCCGUGUCAUAUACUCAACUGCACGCUUCAUUAUUGCAAGACGGUUUUGCCGUCACUCAGAGAUGGAUCCGCGCCGCAUUAGCUAGUUGGCAAGGGAACGGCUUACCAAGGCGCCGAUGCGUAGCCGUCCCGGGAGCCUGCUCGGCCACACUAGGACUGAGACACGGUCCCGACUCCUUCGGGAGGCAGCCGUCGGGAAUCUUCCGCCCUGCGCGCAGGCCUGACCGAGCGCCGCCGCGUCAGUGAUGAAGGUCUUCGGAUCGUAGAACUCUGUUAUUCGGGAAGGACAAAUGUGUAAGUAACUAUGCACGUCUUGCCCGUACCUAAUCAGAACGCCACGGCUAACCUCGUG